rnacentral:lncRNA from 1 species
GGGGUCACUUGGGGUCCCAUUUUGGGGUCCCAUUUUGGGGUCCCAUUUUGGGGUCCCAUUUUGGGGUCCCUGGGGUUUGGGGUCCCUGGGGUUUGGGGUCCCUGGGGUUUGGGGUCCCUGGGGUUUGGGGUCCCGUUUUGGGGUCCCGUUUUGGGGUCCCAUUUUGGGGUCCCUGGGGUUUGGGGUCCCAUUUUGGGGUCAUAUUUUAUGGUCCCAUUUGGGGUCAUUCUGGGGUCCCUGGGGUUUGGGGUCCCAAUUUUGGGGUCCCAAUUUGGAGUCAUUUUGGGGUCCCUUUUUGGGGUCUCUCGGGGUCAUAUUUUGGGGUCACUCGUGGUCCCAUUUUGGGGUGUCUCGGGGUCACAAUUCGGGGUCUCUCGGGGUCAUAAUGGGGUCACAUUUUGGGGUCCCAUUUGAGGUCAUUUUGGGGUUAUUUUGGGGUCCCUUUUUGGGGUCACUCGGGGUCACAAUUUGGUGUCACUCGGGGUCGCAAUUUGGGGUCACUCGGGGUCCCAUUUUGGGGUCCCUGGGGUUUGGGGUCCCAUUUUGGGGUCAUUUGGGGUCACUCGGGGUUAUAUUUUGGGGUCCCAUUUGGGGUCAUUUUGGGGUUAUUUUGGGGUCAUAUUUUGGGGUCACUCGGGGUCAUAUUUUGGGGUCACUCGGGGUCCCAUUUUGGGGUCCCAUUUGGGGUCAUUUUGGGGUCCCAUUUUGGGGUCACUCGGGGUCCCAUUUUGGGGUCACUCGGGGUCACAAUUCGGGGUCACUUUGGGUCAUAUUUUGGGGUCCCGUUUUGGGGUCUCUUG